CGGUGGUCUUCUCUUUAUCGCUGCCUCUCUACCUACGCCUCUUCUUGCAAUUCAUUCUCCGUCGACUUUGAAGAAGAUAUUUAUGCUUCAUCAAAUCACAGAUCCGUCAAGGAAGAAGACAACACAGAUGGAUGUUGAAAGCGAUCACAGUGGUUGCUCUAACUUUAGUUCUGACUCAAACAUCAGCGGCAGGCGUCGAACAUGUCUUUACCGAUCACGUCUCAGUUUGAUCCUCUUCUAUUUUCCUCGACGUGUUUGCUGUCGACCUCUCUUUUUUAUCUCCCUACCUCUCUCUUUAAUACCUAAUCAUGCUGGAAUACAGUAAACUAUGAUUUACGACGCCACUACUAUUGAGAAAGCUGAUCUUCUACUGUUUAGCAGGCAAUUGAUCCAAUAACAUGCAAAUGCCUGUACAAAAUGCUUAAUCGAGAUGUAUUUUAUGAAUAAAUGGCACACUUCUACUGGGAAAGAGCAUUUUUAUAUAGUGGACGAUUACGAGAGAUGAUAAACUGAAAAUUUGCUAUUUUUUCAGAAUCUAAUGAUUGUGCUAGAUGAUAAACUGAGGCAAUCAAGUGAGUUUCUUCAUUAUUGAUGUAAUGCAAUGAAUAUAUGGUUCAUUUAUGGUUCAAUAAAAGAAUUUUGAUGCAUUUUAGCGUUGGUUAUAUGAAAAUCGAAUGAGCAGUUAUGGAGCAGAUGUGUGGAUAUACUGUGCAUUGGCAUUGAUGGAAAAAUUUGAAUGGGCUCAAGGUUAUAGAAAACAUUUUUGUUUGCUUUAUAUGGAUUAUAAGAAUGGUCUUGCCCGACACCCAAAAUCUUUACCAUAUUGUUAAUUGCGUUGUCCUUCAUCGGAAUUUUAAGAGCUUUUUUUUGAUAAUGUAAAUUGACAGUAUCAUUGGUUACUUUGAAUCUUUCG